UUAUUAGAAACACUUUUAUUUAAAGUUAGACAAUAGAAAGGUGUCACAGAAAAAAAUUACAGAAACUUGUAACAACAGAAUGUAACUUGGAAAAGUUAUGAGUAAAUGAGAAGGAAUAAGAGAUAUUCCUGAUUUUAUCGAGUGAUUCGUUAGUCCAUAAGUAGAAUAAUUUAUGAAUUAUGCAAAAUACAUCCUUUGCUGGUAUCUCUUGAACAGACAGGAGAUUAACAAUUUAGUUACCCUAUUAAAUUGGUAUCUACUAAAACCUUCCAAAGUGAAACAGUCAAGGUAGCAUUUCCCAACAUUUGAGAUAGAAUUUGGGGAAGUGAAUAACACUAAGAAGUUAAAAAAAAACCCAAACUACCUGAUACUGAAUAGGCUUAACCCGGAUUUCAGCCCACAGGUGGUACUUGUGGAUCUGAUAGAAAGGGGUGAAUAUAAGUCUGGGCACAGCCCCUGCCUCCAAACGCACACACACACUGUGUCCUAGGACACAGGUGCCAUCAAUGCCCUUGCCACAUGCAGGCACAGAAGGCCUAGACUAAAAACGAAAUGACCUGGGCCCUGGGACCCUGGAUCUAUGCUGAGCCCUUUCUGAAUCCUGGAUGGGAGAGCAGUUGGGUUUAGGGUAAGGAAUGUAAAAUUUUUUAAAACUUUGGCAAUUAAGUAUACAAAUGACUAUUUCUUGAUUGUCAUUUUUAUAAGGAAACAUCAUUCAACCUCCUAAAAAGAUACUUUCCUAUCUUAUUUGACUUCCCUCUCAAGCAUUUGGAGGGCACACAUUUGUAAAAUAGAGGUGACUAAAACCACUUACCUGUAAUAAUGAUUACUUUAUUAUUUUUCACCUUCUCUAUUUAAAAAGCAUAUAAAAUGUAAAGUCUAUCAUUGACAACUAACCCCAAGAUAAUGCUCAUAAUGGAGGUUUGGAACAACGUGGCUAAUUUGUUAAAAAUUAGGCCUCUAUAUAUUUAAUUCCUUUACAAUAAACCAUAUAUGAGACCUCUGAUAAAAUAAUAUCAACUAACGUAAAUUUCACCGCUCCUCCCAACCUUAAUCCCCUCAUGGAGGGAUCAAAAUCAGUAGAGUAACGAGCCAAGAAGUAUGGAGCCUGAUGAUUCACAGAGCUGAUUUUCUUCUAAAAUGCUAUAGUUAGCUGUAUAAUAACUUUUUUCUUAUAAAUUCUACACUUAAAAAACAAGAGAUUCAAGGAUAAACAAUGCUAUAAAAUACUAUUUCAAGAACUCGCAAUCUCGUUUGAAGAAACGGAUUUUCUUUAUGCCCACGAUGAUUUUGCCAACUGUAGCACAUGCUGGUUUUAUUCCAAAGGGUGAUGAAGGGUGUUUAUGGACCUGACACAAGACCCAAAUUUAGUGUCCAAUUCAUGACUCGAAGGGGUAAAUAACUGUUCAUGGUGUUAGGAUAAAAGUAAUUUUAAAUGCUAUUGGAAAGUCACUAGGUUAGGCACAUUUUCAUAAUUUUGGUUGAUAUUUUGAGGAGAACAGGAAGGGGGAAAUUAGAGAAAUAUAUUUUAAAAUAAAAAUAUAAGGCUGGUUAUAAAGUUCCUUCUGGUUACAGAAAGAAUCCUUCAUAGAUCUACAGGAAUAAAUUAUGAUCUAUUCAAACUUUCACCAUGUAGUAGUAAAGUUAUCUUUUAAGUCUGGAGGACUCUUAGAGUUAUGACUUAUUGUAGAAACACUUCGCUCCUAAGUAAAGCUGCCAUAAUCCUACCUUCACAUUGUUUGGUUGUGAGGUGGGGGAAGGGGAGACAACAAAAGAGAAUGGAGGUGCCCUGUGUCUACUGAGAGAGGUAUAAUUAUGAGUUCUACUCUUUGUAAUAUGAUCAUGGAAUGGCUCUGCCACAUCUACUCUGGUAGCUGACAGCACCUGUAAGAUUUAAACUCGGAUGGGUGUGAGGAAGUAAUCAACAAGCAGUUAACAAAGCACCCACUGUGUGCCUAUAGGCUUGGUGCUAUGGGGAAACAGAAAAGUAAGGAGAAACAUAUGGGUCCUGCCUCCGAAAGCAUAAAAUCCAGUUUAAAAUGUGCUUAUUAUUUAUUAUUUAAAAAUUAAAACUUCUAAAUAUUAUGUUGAUGUUAACCUAAAAUCCUUUCUUAGGUCUGUACCCUUUCCAAGAAAGGCAGGUUAAUUUGGGCUUCGUUACAACUGGCAGGUACUGCUGAUAAAUAACAUGCUCAAAAACAAAACCCCAGCGACACAGCAAUUGGUAGCUACCCAAAGUGCUUCUGCAAGUCCCAUUAAGCCACUUGGGGAAAAGGUGUUACCCAAAUGUCAAAUCAUUACACACAAGUGAGAGAAACAGCUGUAAAUCCUCAGGCCCUGUUUGGUUACAUUUGUCAAAGCUUAGAUUUCCUCAACUAAGCCUUAUUUAAACUAAUUAAGUAAUAACAUACAUCCUACUAGACUUAAUUUUGAACAUUAAUAAUAUUAUCAAGUGCUGCCAAACCACUUCUGAAAACAUACAAGUCUUCAUUUUAGAAAGUCCCGUUACUGAAGGUUGCUGGGGCCCUAUCAGUGCACCGCUUGCCCGCAGACCAUAUCCAAGGUGCAGCCCUCAGCCCAGAAGGGUGAAUCAGGGAGCACAUUUCCACCCUAAGACUCUAUGUCGUGUAAAUAGAAAGAUUUGGACAAGACCUCACAUCUAGGUCCCUAGGAACUUCCAAACUUCAAGUUGCCAUUAACCAAAGGAAAAUGAUGUCUUUACCAAGCAAGCGGUCACUCAGAAAGACCUCAACAUCACAUGCUUGCAGAAAUAUAUACUAAGAGGUGGGAGUAAAUUUCCCUGUUGUUUCUAAGAGCCAAUGGCUCCUAUAUUGAACGAGUUGGCCACUCCGCCCAGACCACACAUGCUAAGAUGUAAGCAAACACAUCAUGCAACAUGACUGUCAUACCAUUUUUAGCCCUCCAGCAAUAUCCAACCUGUAUAAAAUGGACAGACAGGUCAGAUCUUGAAUGGUCACUACAAGUCAAGGCAGCUCUAAAAUAGGAAAGUCCUGUGUCCUUUGUGACACGCAAAACGUUUAAGGAAAUUGCUAACUUGAUGGGUUAAUAUUCUCUGAAAAACUCUUCUCAGGCAAUUUAUCGUGUCUUCAAUGCAUACCAUUUGAAACUUCAUAAAAUUGGUGAACCACACAAACCAUAUUACUUUGGAAAUUGUACGACUUAAUGCACCCUAGUGGAACUGUAAUGAUUAUGUCUGUGAAAGUUAUAAAGCAAUUUAACAUUUACGAACAAUUUAAUAAUUAUUUACCCUUUACAUCAAAUCUGUGAGCAAACUUAUACCCAUUUCACAGAUAAGGGACUGGACAUUGAGAUAAAACACUUAUAAAUCAACUGAGAAGAAGAAUAUGAAUACACUGUCCUUCACCUCCAGCCCUCGUAAGUUCUCCCUUCCUCCCUCUCUCCGUUCUCAUUAAUUCAGCAGAGUGGCUUAUAUGAAGGCUUGUACAGGACUUCUUUACUAAUCAACUAUUCUGCCCACUCUUAAAUGGGAAAGCUCCAGAGACAGGAGUUUGGAGCAAAAACUAAAGAAGAUAUGAGAAAGCAGUCGCUCAGUAUAAAUUAUGAUCAUCUGGGCACCCCAAUUCAACACCCUGAUAUAUCCCACUCUAUUCAAUAUCAAAGCAAACAGAUAUAAAACUUCUGUCACAAACCAGUAUGAAUAGGUAAGUUACAUGUCAACCAAUGAGUCUGUUCCAGACCUUUUUAAGACACAAGUUAUUUCUGUUAUCUCUAAAUGUGCAGCUUCUAAGAAGAGGGACAUAACAUACUUUUCAGUGUACUAGUGUAAAUCAGAUUACAUGGAUCCUAAAGACACAAUUCACCUUAAAGAGGAGCUUAUUCACUGGGGAAAAUGGCUACUUAUUAAAUUUUGGUGAGAAAACAGGAAAAAAGAAGAAUAUUAAAAUAAUCUAGGUUGACAGGCUCUAAUAAAGCAUCCUUUAAGCAAAAGUUAUCUCAAUAAAAAAGUAUCACAAACAUCAUCAUUUUAAACAUAAAUAUUUUUAUAUAAGAUAUAUUGUUAAAUUUGAAAGCAAGUUCAACCUUUUUUGUAAAAUAGCCUUUAGGACACUAGCUGAUGUAACAGGAGCUCAAGAAUACUGAGUAAAUGAACAUUAUAAUUUACAUUAACAGUUUUUAAACCUUACUUUUAAAUUAAUCUUUUAACAUCUCUUUUAGUAGUAAAAAAGAUCUUCUGUUAAGAAUUUAGAUUCCAUUUUGGUCUUUAACAAGCCAAAUUAUCUUUUUCUGUAUGAUAUUUAAAAGUAAACAG
rnacentral:lncRNA from 1 species